AAUUGUAGGGCAUUACAAUGACGGAUGUGAAAAGCAGACAAUAUUCCUCAUCAAACUGAAGCGAAAAAUCAGUAUUAUGUUCAUAUCUGAGGUUCACAAGUCAUCAAAGUGAAAAUACACCCAUAAAAUUAACAAAUAAAAGAAAUAAAUGAAAAAGCAUCGAGAAUAAAAGGGUAAUUCAUUCAGUGUUGUCGUUUACCGAAGCAGAUAAUUUAAUCGUUAUUACUUGUUGGGAAGUUAUAAGAGAUCUCGGUACUAUUGUGAUCCCAAACAUGGAUAUGGUGGGCC
rnacentral:lncRNA from 1 species